rnacentral:rRNA from 1 species
ACUCCUACGGGAGGCAGCAGUGGGGAAUAUUGCACAAUGGGCGCAAGCCUGAUGCAGCCAUGCCGCGUGUAUGAAGAAGGCCUUCGGGUUGUAAAGUACUUUCAGCAGUGAGGAAGGUGGGUAUGUUAAUAGCAUACUCAUUUGACGUUAGCUGCAGAAGAAGCACCGGCUAACUCCGUGCCAGCAGCCGCGGUAAUACGGAGGGUGCGAGCGUUAAUCGGAAUUACUGGGCGUAAAGCGCAUGCAGGUGGUUUGUUAAGUCAGAUGUGAAAGCCCGGGGCUCAACCUCGGAAUUGCAUUUGAAACUGGCAAACUAGAGUACUGUAGAGGGGGGGUAGAAUUUCAGGUGUAGCGGUGAAAUGCGUAGAGAUCUGAAGGAAUACCGGUGGCGAAGGCGGCCCCCUGGACAGAUACUGACACUCAGAUGCGAAAGCGUGGGGAGCAAACAGGAUUAGAUACCCUGGUAGGCUCU